UUAAUGUACACCACCGGUUCCUCACGAAGAUUAAACCAAAGAACUUGUGCCUGCUUCCCAUCUUUUUGUGCCCCAAUAUGCUUAAGAACGUUACGAAUACCCUCAACUGUUGGAAUUGCAACACCGUGUACAGGCAAUGAAUCAGCCUGACGGUAAUUAGGGGCGCCAUCAAUCUGAGGAGUUAGUCGCUUGUUUUGACAGCCAGGGAAAUGGUCGCUCUUUAGAAUGGUCUUCUUUCCCAGCACUGAUCCACCUCUGAGCUUCAUCACCUGCUCCAAUUCCUUAGGUAUCGACAUGGCUCCUCCUCCUCCUUUUGGUAGUGCCUAGCUUUUUUAAUUUUAAUUUUUUUUAUACUAUCAAUGGAACAAACAAUUACUCACACUAUUAUGCACUGCUAAAAAUUCACAAUUUUCACAAAUCCAAAAUUCACCCACUCUCAGAUUCUACUUUCUUCUGCACUAGCUCAACCUGGAUUUCACUUUAUUUUAUGUGUAUGUCCAGAGGCAAUGCUGCAAGCAAAUUUAUAAUCAAGCAGGCAGAUGAUUGUAAAAAGCUGUAAAAAAGAAUUGUGAUUUGUGAUUGGGUUUGGCCAAAGAAGAACAACAAAUGUUUGCAGGGGAAGAAAAGGGGGGAAAUGUGAUAAAGGGGAGGGAUAAGAGAAAGGGAUAGAGAUAGAGAUAGAGAUAGAGACGGAUGUAUAUUAUAAAGCCCAGCAAGCAACAACUUUUAUUUGGGUCUGGUCUGGAGCUUGGGGGCAUUUGUAUCCAAAAAUAUAAAAUUUUCACUUUGUUUUGUGUGAGAGGUGGUGGGGUAGAGAGGCGCAAACACUGCAGUAAUAUUCCUCCAUCAUCCAGCUCCAGGGUUCAUCAUAAUCGUCUGUACUCUCCUCUCUCUGCUCUCUCCUCUGCCUUGCCUGACAAAGAAACGUGGAAGGCGUGUAGUAUUU
rnacentral:misc_RNA from 1 species